ACUCCUACGGGAGGCAGCAGUGGGGAAUAUUGCACAAUGGAGGAAACUCUGAUGCAGCGACGCCGCGUGAGUGAAGAAGUAAUUCGUUAUGUAAAGCUCUAUCAGCAGGGAAGAUAGUGACGGACCU
rnacentral:rRNA from 1 species